AACGCACAUUGCGCCCAUUGGCAUUCCGAUGGGCAUGCCUGUUCGAGCGUCAUUAUCCUCCCUCAAACCCCUGGGUUUGGUGUUGGACUGUGUGGUGCCUGGCACCACUGGUCUCAAAGACAAUGACGGCGUCCGUGGGACCCUCGGUGCAACGAGCUUUUCGAAGCACGCGUCGAGUGGACAGUCUCUCCGGGCCGGUCACCUCUCCAAAUUUUUCUCAGGUUGACCUCGGAUCAGGUAGGAAUACCCGCUGAACUUAA
rnacentral:misc_RNA from 2 species